rnacentral:misc_RNA from 1 species
ACAUUGUUUCUAAUUCUUCACAUACACAGAGAGACAUGCUAAACACGUUAUACAACUGAGGUAGUAAAAUCUCACUGCUUUCAGUAAAAUUACAUUUACAUGUUUUAAUUAAAACAGCACUUGAAGCUUCUGAUAAAACAAAAUACUCUACAGGCCUACAGUCAUCCUUUAAAAACUCUAAACAUAGAACAGAAGCUCCUGCAACGUACAUCCCACUUUCUUAGGUGGAAUUCAGCUGAUAUACUUAAGUAUCACGAUAUAUUCACCGUCUCCACAUCCCUGAAUACAUUGUGCACUUGAUUCCCAAAUUUUAACAGAAAAUCAUUGACUCAUUUAUAGCGUAUGCACUCUCUCAGUCCAUACAAAGAUGACCCAUUAACGCUGAACCAUAAAGUGCAACUCGCCUCAGCUCGCAUUUUUCGAAAGAAAAGUUGUACAAUCUUCCAUCUUCCCCCUUUUUCUCAGGAACCAAACACAGUUUCAAGUUAUUCAUUCAUUCAAUUGAAUCAAAGUAGAACUGAAAACACUAAAAAGCCUAAAAUCCUCGAUCUAAUCGAUAAUUCUACCUCACAACAAGCGGCAUCAAUAUCCAUGAAAACGAAAAAUAAAAAAUCUAAGACCAUCAAUCAAUGAAAAAUGAGAAAGCAAAUCUGCAUCUGAAGCCGAAAUCAGGAUCCGAAAAUCCGGAAUCCGUUUACAUUUUCAGUUCGAUUAGCUGAAAAUGAAACCUAAAAACAAGAUAAAAAAUAAGUGGAAAGGGAAUGGGUUAUCAAAAUUACAGGUCUUUGCAUGCGAAGAACUUACAGAGAGAAAUGGAAAAGCAGCGG